GAUGAACGCUAGCGGCAGGCUUAACACAUGCAAGUCGAGGGGUAGAAGGAGCUUGCUCCUUUGAGACCGGCGCACGGGUGCGUAACGCGUAUGCAAUCUACCUUUUGCAGAGGAUAGCCCAGAGAAAUUUGGAUUAAUACCUCAUAGUAUGUGAGGAUGGCAUCAUUUUCACAUUAAAGUCACAACGGCAAAAGAUGAGCAUGCGUCCCAUUAGCUAGUUGGUAAGGUAACGGCUUACCAAGGCUACGAUGGGUAGGGGUCCUGAGAGGGAGAUCCCCCCACACUGGUACUGAGACACGGACCAGACUCCUACGGGAGGCAGCAGUGAGGAAUAUUGGACAAUGGGCGCAAGCCUGAUCCAGCCAUGCCGCGUGCAGGAUGACGGUCCUAUGGAUUGUAAACUGCUUUUGUACAGGAAGAAACACUACUUCGUGAAGUAGCUUGACGGUACUGUAAGAAUAAGGAUCGGCUAACUCCGU
rnacentral:rRNA from 1 species